CACUGUGUAUGACACAGCAUAAUUAUAUUUACCUGUUUACAGUUGUACAGAUAAAUAUUGCCUCCCCAAGCCUGUCCCAGUGCAAUAAGGCCCAGGCUUGGCUGCAGUUCCACCCACGAGACAAACACAGCAGUGGCAUGUCACUGCUUGUCCCUGUGCUGCCAGCCUGGAGGGUUACACAAAUAGACACAUGGGAUUCAGCUUUCAGAUCUGUGCCGCCACGAUAAACAGGCUUGGGCAGGUCUCCCUCGGAAGGUCUGGGUGACCCAGAGGAACGUGUGACAGCUCCCCGUGCUCUGCUGGAAGGAGACGUCCGAAGGGCAUUUCAAAAAGCCACCCUGGGCUGAAAUCACAGGUUUGUGCCUGCGUGUUGUGCCAGUGAAAGCAACAGCUAAUAACUAGGUCUGCUCUAAAGCUCCUUGUCUGCAUCUCUCCGCUCUGCCUCCUGCCCGGGAAUGUUUUGGAUCCCAUCCAAGCUGCAGUGCAGAGAGGGAGCUCUUUGUUCCCCUCCUCUCUGCUGCCUCUGAGCACAUUUAGCUUGUGCUUUCUGGGGCAAGGUUUUCCAGCACUGUUGGAAAUGAUAUAACUUUUAAAAGUUUUUAUGGAAGUACCCUGGAAAACAGGCAGACAGAAGAAAUAAGCCCUAAAACGCCGUUAAUCACUGUUAAUGUGUUCAACAGAACCUCUGUAACAGUGAACAAAAACAAACAUUGUCAAGGCCGUUCUGAACAGCCCAGGGGUGUCACCUCCCUGCAUUUUGUUUUCAGAUCCAGCUUGGGUCCUUUGAUGGUGAGGAAAACGUCCAGAAUGCUUCCCCCUCCACCACUGGGAGACUAAAAUCCAAGCACGGACAUUUUCCCCCCCUGAACAAACCACGUACUUUUAACCACCUCAGGUUUUUUAAGUAUUCUGUCAGCUAUACACAACUCCUAGUUCCCUGCUUAUUAGAUAAAAAAAACAUCCACAGUUCCUAAUUCUCUUUCACCCACAAACAUGCGGCUGCUUUCAGUGCUGCUUUGGGAAUAAAAAUGCUCUUACAGGCAGAAUUUCAAUGCUGGCUGUGAGCCAGGGCUGCAGAGCUGAGUCAUUGUUAUACAAGCAGAGCUGAGAUGCACAGAAAAGCCCCUUUGUACUUUAAAACUGAACACGUCAGCUGCUGCUGGCCUUUGAGCAUCACGAGACACCUACACAGAACCAACUGUAAUUUACUGGACUUUUCCUCUUGUCCAUCCCAUCAUCUGUGUGAAUAAUUCUUCCUUUUGCAUUUUGCCUCUCAAGCUUAACAGCAAAUGCAUUUUUCAUCAAGCUGUUGGCCUCUCCUAAAACCUGGCAAGCAUUGCAUCAGCUUUGGAAGCAGUGAAAUGAGAAGUGUUAACACUGGGCCCUGGGAAGGUGCUGCCCAGGUACACUGACAGUACAAUACUGGACCACUGAAAUUUAGGGCUUUCAAACACCUGUGACAUUUAUCAUCAUCCAGAGUUCCACUGUAAAGCUCUUGAAUUGAUUUUUAUGUGAGACUCAGUUUUGUGUUCUGAGUCCUUUGUGAUAAAAUAUGAAACGAAUGAAAAAAGAGAAACAAUUUCUUUACUAAGGCCUUAGGAAACCAAGCUGCAUUUUGCACUUC